UCAUCCGUCGUUGACUCCAUGCCGAUUCGGGUUAAUCUGGUAGCGAUCCCCGUCGAUACUUUUGACGAAGGCGGCAGGGAUCGCAGAAGGGUUAUUGCUCUUUGCCGGGGAUAAGCGCUCUGCUUAUCCCCAUCUUAUCG
rnacentral:misc_RNA from 2 species